ACAGCUUCCCUUUCCUUCGAGUCAGAACGUGCAUAUUGGCGGUUUCUGGGCUCAACUAAAUCAUUCUCGGGGACGUCGUGAACUUGACCUGUGGAGUUGUGACUAUCAACGCCAACAGAUGCAUGAGUCAUCACUGCGAGACAGUUAGAAGGAGGUGAAGUGGAGAAAACAGGUUCUGCUUUGUUGUUUUUACUUUGUUCAGCCUCCCCUAAGCUUCUCUUACGGGCUUCUUGUAUUUGACUUAUUCCACAUCCACUUGGAAUGGUUUCCCCACCUUCAUCAGGACGUGGGACUUGCAAGAUGGCGGGUUGGACUUCCAGUCUCUGGCCCAUGUUCCCAUCAUUCAGUUUGCUCUCCUCUCUGAUGAUAGCCGGUGUGGAUUCAGAAGGCCCUGGUGUCCCAGCCCUGGUGCACACCAUCACACCUGCUUCAUCAGUGGGGUCUACAGAGGAUUCUACGACUUUAGGGCAGGUCAGAAACUGUUUAAGGAAGGCAGCAUGAUCCUUGACUUGGUUUUCCUCUCGGUUUUGACUCACAUUACUCACGUUUUCCUUCUCUCCGGUUUUGGAAGUCUCUGAUGACAAAUCUGUGACGGGUAAUUCCUUUUCGUCUACAGGAUCCACAGAUGACUCCAGGAGUCUGGGCUGGCUCAAAUACCGGGAAGAAAGGCUACUCCAAUACGCACGGCUGGCGCGUUUUUCACUGACAUGGGUUUCUCUGUUAUUAGCAAGGGCCGGGCCAGACUCAGCCUGAGGACUGUGAGCCUUGAGAACAUCAGAUAGAGCCCAGACCCUGUCAGGAAUUACGGGACCAGCUUCUAACUCCUUGCACUCAGAACCCGUCUGUGGUCUUGGGAGCCAGUCUUCUGAAAUGGGAGCUUCCAGAGUUAUAAUCUUCAGCUUUCUGCCCGCUUUCCAAAGUCCUGGCCCACUCUCUCUAGAGCCUUCCAGGAAGAUAUCAGAGAGAGGUGGAGUGUGGCUCAGAGCCUGACCAUCAUCUUCCACGGUGGCGUGGGCCACCUUGCACACAGUAGGCCCCAGGUCUGAGCUCUGCCCGCUCUCCUCCCUGGAGUUUGCCGACAAGUGGUCCACUGGGUAUAUUUCCCCUUGUGCGACAGCUGUCAUGGGCCACCUUUCUUGGAAACCACCCUCGGAAGGAAAACUCUGUGGGGGUAAGCUCUCGUGCUGGAUCCUCUGUGUUCUUUCACUUUCUUUUUCUUGGAAAUCCUCUUCAAGGCUCCUAUUGCCUGCCCUGUCCACAGUCAGGCUCUUAUCUCCAGACUGGUUAUCAGUCUGGAGAGGGCGGCUGCUACAGAAGCCCUCUAACUCUGGGAGCCGAGGAACGUGGAUGGGGACUCCUGGUCCACGGGGAGCCAUGCCAAAGGGCUCCUUUAGAGAUUCGGUUUUGGAAUCACUUAAAAUAUGACCCAACUGAGCAUGGGAAGUGAGGUGGAGAAUAUUUUCAUCUGGUGCCUGAGGUGAGCUCCCCUUGGGUCCAUCUGCAAGACUGUUCUCGGCAAUGGAAACAGGGAGGUAUUUGGCUGGGUGAACUUUGGGGGCCAUGGUAACUGGGGGCCAUGUGUCCCCACUCGCCCUGGCCACCUGAAGACCCUCCAGAUGAGGAGUGAAAGUCGUUGGCGUCUCACGAGGAAACAUUACACCUGAGCCAUUCCCGGCUGAUGUGUCUGUGGUGUCUGGGCCACCGUUACUGGGGCCCUCGUUGCCGCCUUCUGCCAACUGCACAACAGAGCUGUUCUCAGAACGUAGAGGCUGUUUUCCCUCAAGGCCUCCUGAGUUGCUGGGGCCGGGCCUCUCCUGGCCAGCCCGUACUGUGGAGACCAACGUGGAGGUGAAAUUCUCCACCGCCGCUAAGUUUUUCCCUGUGCCCCCUUCACUGGCUUUUUGUGAAAGGUUCCAGGUGAAAACACUGGUAAAAAGAGGGGGCAUGGCGGAGUCUCGCUCCUCGGCGCUCUUGCAUGGCGGCUGUGGAGGCUCAGAACCUCGCGUCUGAAAAAGAACGCCCGGCGUCUUGUCAUCAGGAGAACAUAAAUCAGAUACUUCGCUUUGACUUUUUGCCGACUCUAAGUCCGUGGAGCAAAUUUCGUGAGGCGAGUAUUUAUCAGGGGAGGCUCCGGCAGGAGAGUCCGUGGUCGGCCGUGUUCUUUGGCCACGUGCUUCCAGAAGCUCUAACACACACGCUGCUUCUCUGCCCCUUGGCCCACCGCCCGCAGUUGCCAGGGUGGUGAUGGUAUCUGUGGGUUCAGGGGAAGCAACGGAGAGAGGCUUGGGCUCCCCAGGGUCAGCGCUGCCCUCCUGGGAGAGAAGCGCUGACAGCUCCCGGGGGGACCUGUUUUCAUUACUGGCCUCUGGGAUGCUCAGCUCGUGUCCGAGGUCUUCCCAGGAACUUCCAAGUGCGCGGUCUUUUCUGUCUUGGUUGCCUCCGUGCUGUGGGCAUCGAGUGCAGCUUUCCAGCUCCAGGUAUUGGGCCAAUGAUGCAUAUUCUUCGUCGAUCCCUCCUAAGUUGGGGAAGGAAUUUGUUGUGGUCCCAGGAGGUGCAGACGGCUCCCCAGCAGGCUCUGAGAAAGCUGGCAUCCGGCUGAGAGUGUCUCUCCCCCUGACCGGUUCCUGAAUUUGCACCUAGGAAGAUGAAAGCGAUAUUAAUAGAAUUGUUCCUAACAGAGCCUGCAACUGGGCAUAUUUGCAAGCCCAAGACUGUUAAUCCUUGAUGACUGUAAUAACGCACAAGAAGAGUAGCAGGAAUGAUCGAAAUCUAAACACUGGUCCCCUAACUCUCUCUAGCUAUUAGAGACUUCCUGGAGACAUGCAAAUUUAAGCAACUGUACGUUCCAGGGGGCCCUUGGUCAAAUUCCCCAUUAUAAGCAAAAAGCCUUCUGACAGUCCUCAUUCAAUGAUUUCUUUUCUCUCUGGCGGGGGGGGGGGAAGAUGGGAAUAAAUUGCAUGUAAACUAGUUUGAUCAAGU
rnacentral:lncRNA from 1 species